AAAAAUGAAGAACAACUCUAAAAUUGUUGUUGUCUGAGGGCUGAAUUUUAUAUAAGAUGUGGAUGUUUCUUCAUAUUUGUCUCUGAAGAUGAGGACGGUGGCUGUUUUAAGGAUUUGGGAUAAUGCUCGGAAAGGCAUGGAAGGGAGUCUUGCUCAUGGCCGUGACAGUGGUGGAGGCUGCACAACUGCCACGCAGAGGCUGGUGUUGAUUUUCCUACUUUGAAUAAAAUGUAAGGGAAUUCCAGCUGAACUGCACUCUACUGCACCAUUCCUAUCUGCAACUUAAGCUGCGUCCAGCAUGAACUUGAAAAUGGAAACGGAUCAGCUUCCACAGAAUUUGGACUGGGAAAACUAUUUUGUUGAGGUUUCCGGUUCAAAUUGCUUCAAAAAUUUCUUGUUUCACAUCUUCCUUUGUUUCAAAUGGAAGUAAUAAACCCAUCCUUUUGCCUGUGAUUCCUGAACUCUCCUCAUAAAUGUAUAUUAUGAAUGUUUCUUUUUAGACAUGGAAAGCUACAAAUAAUAAUAUUUGCAAUUAUGAGUAGUACUUCAGAAUUAAAGAUGAAAGCACUUGUAGAAGCAGUUAAUUCAUUAUUCAAAAAGUUGUCAGUAGGCUCUAUUAAUAUUGCCUGAGAUAUUUUUUUUCUGUGGAGAUCCCAAAAACUUGUGCUGCUAGCUCACACCAGAGCCAUCAAGAGCUGUUCAGAUCAGUGAUUCUUGUUGCAAGAGAGAAAGUUAAUGCAAAAGGUAAAAAGAAAUAAGGUCAGUCAGUCCAACUACUUAAAUUCCUGCUUUGUUCCCUUGAAAACUAGUCCAGACACUUAAAUUCCAGUCUGUAUUACUAGAAAGAUCUCUGGUAAUUCAUAUUAAAUAUAACUGCAGUGUUUCCAUAGAGAUGAUGUUUAGCAUAAAAAUAGCUGAAACAUUUUGACAUUGAUUCUGAGGCUACAGUUCAUAACAUCUUAUUUUACUACUGCUACCCUCAGCAAUGCUGAAGUAUAGAAAUAAAUCCUUCUUUUCAAAUGGUGUAACAAAAUGUGUAAAGGUAAGAAAAAUUAGCAAAAUAAUAACUGACUCGCUUGUCUGUAAAUGGCUGUAUGCAACUUAGCUUCUUACAGCAGAGGUAUGUUAAAAUGAAAAUUUUAAAGAAAAUUUCCACAAAUUAUAGGUCUGUGGGGUCGGACAAGGGGAGAGAAAAUGUUAGUUAAUAAAGACAUUUGAGUUUUGUGGAAGAAGCGAGAAACAUUGAUUUCGGUUGGUUUGCAUUAUUGGCACUGACUGCAGGAAUAUUUUCAGUAUAGCUUAAGGUGUUUCUAGAGGUGAAACAAAAUUAUCUCCCUGAACAGUCUAGUGAGCAGACGAUGAGAACAGAGAGAUUUUUUGGGCUUCAUCCUAAAAAAGGAGCCAAAUCUGAUGAACGGAGGUGAAACUGAAGAUUCAGUGAUUAUAAUAUCAUUACACAGGAAAUUUAGUUUGGGCUAUUUGCAUUUCAUGGUAGAUUUUCAGUAAGGUAGAGUUGGAAUGGCAAGCAGAAGGAAAUCCAUAGAGUUAAAAUUAUGGGAUAAAGAAUGUCUCUCAGUCAGUAAGGGAUGAAAUGAACCCUGCAGCAUGGUGAUGCCAUCAAAAGGUAUAACCAGGAUACAAGGGGCUGUGGUCAGAUAGGCUCUUCUAGACUUUUGUAUUUAGCAGCUCAGGGCUUGGGGUAGAUCUGCUCUGCACACAGUUGCAGGUGCAUUUCAAUGACAAGAAACAUUUAAAUGGAUUCAACUGUGAUUAAAUAAGGAAUGAAAAAAGUUAGUGGGGAAGGAGGGAAGAGGAGACAGUUGUUCAUAUAUGCAGAUGGCCAACCUGAGUUCAUGGAUCGGCCACUUGAGUACAAGACCAGGAAUGGAGAAAUGCUGAAUUACUGAUGGAAGUACUUUACCAUAAUUUUUGCACACAAUCCAUCAUUUGUAUGCAUUUGAAAAGCCUGGGUGAAAUUUAACAACACAUACUUUGUUGAACCAUGCAUAGUUUCAAUCAGUUUCGUACAUGUACAAAUCAGGUGGGAAAUAGUUUAUACAGUUUGGGGUUGCUAUACUGCGCUGCAUCUCCAGUUGACUGUACCAAAGAGCUGUUUAAUUUGCUUGCAUUAAAUAACAUAUGUUCUCUCUUUGUGCCAAACACUAUACCAAACAUUUGCAUACUGCUGUCAAUAAUAUAUCCUUUAGGACUAAUGCCACGUGAUUUAAAUACCCACUCUCUGAAGCUCUUCUCGGUUUCUGCAAAGUGUAUUGCACAGAGACAGCUUAAGCCCAGUAACAAAUUGACUUUUCUUCCUUUUGAGUGCCGAAGUACCUCCAUAACUCAGGCUGUCAAAAAUGUACGUGGGUAUGUCAGCAAUAUACCACUGU
rnacentral:lncRNA from 7 species